CCACCUCUCAGGUAAAGAAGGCCACCUUCUAAUGGUGUCCUCCCAUCCCUCUAAAACUAGGGUCUCAUGGCUAUGGAGAGUACACAGAGAAAGCUUGGGUUCUCAAUUGUUUUGGUAAAACCCUGAUCUUUGCAAUUCACAGUCUUACAACGUUGCUUUCGAUUCUUGGGACUUUGACAGGUUCAUCUCUUCCCCUCAAAAGUUCAGCAUUAGUAUAUUUUCUAUUCUCAAUUUUAGCUCUCUACUGCUGCCAUCUAAGCUGUGAGUCAUCACAAUUGAGUCAUCACAAUUGCCUGAGUCGUGUUUUUUUUUCCAUUGUUGACAAUUUUUGGUGCAUCGUAUUUUACUACCCCUAUCUUGAAACUCAUACAUAUUGGAUGGUAACUUUCUUGUUAAUUUAACAACCUCCCUCUAUAUGUAUUCAUCAUAUUUUAUUGAUUCACCUACCUUUUGCAGUCCUCUUGCAAUAAAUUAAUUUUUAACCCUAAUCUUUAUGAGCAUAGUUUUCUCUCUCUCUGCUGUUAACUAGAGGUUAGGGCAGUCGUGCGUUUCUUACCGAUACAAGUUCACUGUAUUUUUUACCAAGCCCUCCAUCUCACAACCAAAGCAUUGCAGCUAUCUAUUGAAACAAUGCUUUUCUUUUUCAUCCAAAUUUCACAACAGACAGAAGGGGGCCCGAGACACAGGCCUGCAACUGCCAAGAAGUCUUUCCAAGCAGAACCCCCGGGCAGCACAUUGGUUUCAGAACAAAGAAGAUCCAACCAUCACAAUGCUUUCACAAAUCCAUUUUAUGGAACGUAUCAAAUUCGAGUGACUAGAUCAAGCAUCAAUUGGUUUCAGAACAAAGAAGAUCCAACCAUCACAAUGCUUUCACAAAUCCAUUUUAUGGAACGUAUCAAAUUCGAGUGACUAGAUCAAGAAUUUGAGAAAAAAAAAAAAAAUCAAACAAGAUCUGAUAAAAGGCCUUGGCAAAAUAUUGCAAGGACUGCAAAAUCAGCUUAGUACAUUACAACAAAAGGAAGAAGAAUGUUGAAAGAUAGAUUUCAAUGCAAAAGAUGUUGACGACAACACAAACAUGCAAGAAAUUUUGAAAAUAAUUUAUGAGAAAGAAGUCAUGCUCCU